ACUCAAAGGAAUAGACGGGGGCCCGCACAAGCAGCGGAGCAUGUUGUUUAAUUCGACGCAACGCGAAGAACCUUACCAGGGCUUGACAUCCACUGAAUCCCGCAGAGAUGCGGGAGUGCCGCAAGGAACAGUGAGACAGGUGGUGCAUGGUUGUCGUCAGCUCGUGUCGUGAGAUGUUGGGUUAAGUCCCGCAACGAGCGCAACCCUUGCCGAUAGUUGCCAGCGAGUAAAGUCGGGGACUCUAUUGGGACAGCCGGGGUAACCCGGAGGAAGGUGGGGACGACGUCAAAUCAUCAUGCUCCUUAUGUCCUGGGCUACAAACGUGCUACAAUGGCCGCAACAAAGGGAAGCGAGACAGCGAUGUUAAGCAGACCCCAGAAAAGCGGUCCCAGUUCGGAUUGUGGGCUGCAACCCGCCCACAUGAAGCCGGAGUUGCUAGUAAUCGCGAAUCAGCAUGUCGCGGUGAAUACGUUCCCGGGCCUUGUACACACCGCCCGU
rnacentral:rRNA from 1 species